AGCGUAGACGGACUGGCAAGUCUGAUGUGAAAGGCGGGGGCUCAACCCCUGGACUGCAUUGGAAACUGUUAGUCUUGAGUGCCGGAGAGGUAAGCGGAAUUCCUAGUGUAGCGGUGAAAUGCGUAGAUAUUAGGAGGAACACCAGUUGCGAAGGCGGCUCUCUGGACUGUAACUGACACUGAGGCACGAAAGCGUGGGAGCAAACA
rnacentral:rRNA from 1 species